UACGGAGGUCUCAAGCGUUGUUCGGAUUCAUUGGGCGUAAAGGGUGCGUAGGUGGCGUGGUAAGUCGGGUGUGAAAUUUCGGAGCUUAACUCCGAAACUGCAUUCGAUACUGCUGUGCUUGAGGACUGGAGAGGAGACUGGAAUUUACGGUGUAGCAGUGAAAUGCGUAGAGAUCGUAAGGAAGACCAGUGGCGAAGGCGGGUCUCUGGACAGUUCCUGACACUGAGGCACGAAGGCCAGGGGAGCAAACGGG
rnacentral:rRNA from 1 species